GACGAACGCUGGCGGCGUGCUUAACACAUGCAAGUCGAACGGUGAAAGCGGAGCUUGCUCCGCUGGAUCAGUGGCGAACGGGUGAGUAACACGUGGGCAACCUGCCCCUCACUUCGGGAUAACUCCGGGAAACCGGGGCUAAUACCGGAUAUGACCUCCUUGGGCAUCCUUGGAGGUGGAAAGUUUUUCGGUGAGGGAUGGGCCCGCGGCCUAUCAGCUUGUUGGUGAGGUAGUGGCUCACCAAGGCGACGACGGGUAGCCGGCCUGAGAGGGCGGCCGGCCACACUGGGACUGGGACACGGCCCAGACUCCUACGGGAGGCAGCAGUGGGGAAUCUUCCGCAAUGGACGAAAGUCUGACGGAGCAACGCCGCGUGAGUGAUGAAGGCUUUCGGGUCGUAAAACUCUGUUGUUAGGGAAGAACAAGUGCUAGUUGAAUAAGCUGGCACCUUGACGGUACCUAACCAGAAAGCCACGGCUAACUACGUGCCAGCCGCCGCAGUAA
rnacentral:rRNA from 1 species